rnacentral:SRP_RNA from 1 species
GCCAGGCAUGGUGGUGCAUGCCUGUAGUCCCAGCUACUUGGGAGGCUGAGGCAGGAGAAUUGCUUGACCCCAGGAGGUAGAGGUUGCAGUGAGCCAAGAUCACACCACUGCACUCCCGCCUGGGUGACAGAGCAAGAUUCUGUCUCCA